AGAGUUUGAUCAUGGCUCAGGACGAACGCUGGCGGCGUGCCUAAUACAUGCAAGUAGAACGCUGAAGAGAGGAGCUUGCUCUUCUUGGAUGAGUUGCGAACGGGUGAGUAACGCGUAGGUAACCUGCCUUGUAGCGGGGGAUAACUAUUGGAAACGAUAGCUAAUACCGCAUAACAAUGGAUGACACAUGUCAUUUAUUUGAAAGGGGCAAUUGCUCCACUACAAGAUGGACCUGCGUUGUAUUAGCUAGUAGGUGAGGUAAUGGCUAACCUAGGCGACGAUACAUAGCCGACCUGAGAGGGUGAUCGGCCACACUGGGACUGAGACACGGCCCAGACUCCUACGGGAGGCAGCAGUAGGGAAUCUUCGGCAAUGGGGGCAACCCUGACCGAGCAACGCCGCGUGAGUGAAGAAGGUUUUCGGAUCGUAAAGCUCUGUUGUAAGUCAAGAACGGGUGUGAGAGUGGAAAGUUCACACUGUGACGGUAGCUUACCAGAAAGGGACGGCUAACUACGUGCCAGCAGCCGCGGUAAUACGUAGGUCCCGAGCGUUGUCCGGAUUUAUUGGGCGUAAAGCGAGCGCAGGCGGUUUGAUAAGUCUGAAGUUAAAGGCUGUGGCUCAACCAUAGUUCGCUUUGGAAACUGUCAAACUUGAGUGCAGAAGGGGAGAGUGGAAUUCCAUAUGUAGCGGUGAAAUGCGUAGAUAUAUGGAGGAACACCGGUGGCGAAAGCGGCUCUCUGGUCUGUAACUGACGCUGAGGCUCGAAAGCGUGGGGAGCGAACAGGAUUAGAUACCCUGGUAGUCCACGCCGUAAACGAUGAGUGCUAGGUGUUGGAUCCUUUCCGGGAUUCAGUGCCGCAGCUAACGCAUUAAGCACUCCGCCUGGGGAGUACGACCGCAAGGUUGAAACUCAAAGGAAUUGACGGGGGCCCGCACAAGCGGUGGAGCAUGUGGUUUAAUUCGAAGCAACGCGAAGAACCUUACCAGGUCUUGACAUCCCGAUGCUAUUUCUAGAGAUAGAAAGUUACUUCGGUACAUCGGUGACAGGUGGUGCAUGGUUGUCGUCAGCUCGUGUCGUGAGAUGUUGGGUUAAGUCCCGCAACGAGCGCAACCCUUAUUGUUAGUUGCCAUCAUUCAGUUGGGCACUCUAGCGAGACUGCCGGUAAUAAACCGGAGGAAGGUGGGGAUGACGUCAAAUCAUCAUGCCCCUUAUGACCUGGGCUACACACGUGCUACAAUGGUUGGUACAACGAGUUGCGAGUCGGUGACGGCGAGCUAAUCUCUUAAAGCCAAUCUCAGUUCGGAUUGUAGGCUGCAACUCGCCUACAUGAAGUCGGAAUCGCUAGUAAUCGCGGAUCAGCACGCCGCGGUGAAUACGUUCCCGGGCCUUGUACACACCGCCCGUCACACCACGAGAGUUUGUAACACCCGAAGUCGGUGAGGUAACCUUUUGGAGCCAGCCGCCUAAGGUGGGACAGAUGAUUGGGGUGAAGUCGUAACAAGGUA
rnacentral:rRNA from 1 species